UACGGGGGGGGCAAGCGUUGUUCGGAAUUACUGGGCGUAAAGGGCUCGUAGGUGGCCAACUAAGUCGGACGUGAAAUCCCUCAGCUUAACUGGGGAACUGCAUCCGAUACUGGAUGGCUUGAGUUUGGGAGAGGGAUGCGGAAUUCCUGGUGUAGCGGUGAAAUGCGCAGAUAUCAGGAGGAACACCGGUGGCGAAGGCGGGUCUCUGGGCCGGAACUGACGCUAAGGAGCGAAAGCGUGGGGAGCAAACAGG
rnacentral:rRNA from 1 species